GAAUGGUUGGAUGAAAAAUUUACUUUCUUUAUUUUAAAAAUUUAAAUUAAUUUCUGAUUUAAAAAGUUUAGAUUUUAUUAAAGGACGAGAAGACCCUAUAGAACUUUACUUUUUUUUAUGUAACUUUUUUUUGUAAAUAAUUGAUUUUUAUUUAUCAAAGAGUUUUGUUGGGGUGACAAAAAAAAAUUAAUAACUUUUUUUAUUUUUUUCAUUUAUAUAUGAUUUAAUUGAUCCUUUAUUAUGGAUAAUAAGAUUUAGUUACCUUAGGGAUAACAGCGUUAUUGUUUCAGAGAGUUCAUAUUUAUGAAAUAGUUUGCCACCUCG
rnacentral:rRNA from 1 species